rnacentral:rRNA from 1 species
GCCUACGGGGCGCAGCAGUGGGGGAUAUUGCACAAUGGGGGGAACCCUGAUGCAGCGACGCCGCGUGGGCGAUGGAGUGCUUCGGCAUGUAAAGCCCUAUCAGCAGGGAAGAAAAUGACGGUACCUGACUAAGAAGCCCCGGCUAACUACGUGCCAGCAGCCGCGGUAAUACGUAGGGGGCAAGCGUUAUCCGGAUUUACUGGGUGUAAAGGGAGCGUAGGCGGCCAUGCAAGUCAGAAGUGAAAACCCGGGGCUCAACCCUGGGAGUGCUUUUGAAACUGUGCGGCUAGAGUGUCGGAGGGGGA